GGCUAUGUAGCUCAGUCGGUUAGAGCAUCGCACUCAUAAUGCGAGGGUCCCCUGUUCGAGUCAGGGCAUAGCCACCA
rnacentral:tRNA from 1 species